rnacentral:lncRNA from 1 species
CCGACCCCAGCUGCAGCCCGGCCCACCUUCCUUCCCAACCGGCCUCUCCCGCCUCGGGGAGCUCCUUCCCCGGUCCGGCCACACAGCCCCCACCUACCCGCCACUCCGCACAGAUUCCGGCCCGAGACGCGCCUCCCCGAGGCUUUGGCCGCCCCAAACCCGGCCCCUUCGGCCACGGGGAGCCCGGGCCUCGAGAAACCGACCAGCUGCUGUCGCCAAGGGGUAAGGUUACCGCUCCGCUCCGCGGCCUGCAACCCGGCCACCUGCAGGGCCUGGCAGGCGCCCGAGCUCUCCCUCCUGCCCGCGGCCCGCGCUGGGACAGGACGGGCCGCCGCCUGGGAGACGGGGAGGCCGGCGGCCCCUCGCGACCCGCGGCGACCCCGCCGCCGGGCCCCCACCCCGGCUCCCGGACGUCCUGCGGCGUCAGCGCCGCCCCCACUGCCGCUCACCCGGGCCGGGACAGUCUUGCGUCGGAGAGACCGCGCAGCGCGAGAGGGCCGGGGGAGGUGGCCGGAGGGAGAGCAAGGGGGAGCGCGCCCAGCACCGCUUCGGCCUCCUCCACCCGCCAAGGAGGGGAAAGAGGAGAGCGGAGAGCACAACAGCCCGCGCCUCGAACCCGCCGCCGCGCGCGCCCGCCGCCGCCUCAGCCUCGGGGGAGGCCACUACGCUCGUGCCCGCGCACGCCGCGCAGCUCUCCCAGUCGCCCCAGCGCCCGCCCGCUUUUCGCCGCCCACUCGCCUUCCUGCUGCGGCCACCUCCCCCGCCCCUCCUCUGCUCGCACGCCUGCGCCCUUUCCGGUCGCGCAGGCCAAUGGCAGCGCGCCCCUAUUACAUAAGCGCCAGGGGGCGGGGCCUGGCGGCGCCGGCGACCCCUGCGAGACGGGAACUGCAGGGGACGUCGCCCUCUGUCCCCGGCGCCCCUCCUCUCCCGCGUGCGCUAUCUAGGCGGCUUCAGCCGGCGCCGCGCCGCGUGUUCGCUGUCCUGCCGGCUGACGGCCCGCGGCGUGUUUCACAAGUCGCUCGCUAG